UCAGAUAAAAUAUACGGGCUUGGAUUAUAAUCACUUAAGUUCAUUUGGCAGAAUGUUAAUCAUCAUUUGUUCUAUGUCAAAUAUAUAGAAUGGGAUCCUGUGACUGGUUUCACUUUCUAACCUUUAUACUGUUAACUUAAGACCAUUUUUCUCUCAAAAUUCCAAGAGAUGAACUAUAUCCAGUUUUCAACAAGAUUAAUGUUAAUUCAGAAAUUUCUGUAUUAUUGCGAUUGCUGAACCGUGACCAAUGAACAAGAUCCAUCCAAUAAAAUUUCACUUUUUAAGGAAAUGCUCCACACAAACAAUACUUUUCAAAAGGGAAUUUCAAUUUCUCAAUUAUUGAUUAGAUAGCAAGUUUCAUAGAUCUUUGUUCUAUUUGCAGUCAAUGGUAGUGAGAAAUCUACAAGUAUCUUUCAAGCAAAUAUCAAUCUAUU
rnacentral:lncRNA from 1 species